ensembl:lncRNA
ACGAAACCUGAACUGUAAUAUGUAGGAACUCUGCACCAGGCAAUCAACGUGCAAACACCAAGAUGGAGUUGGGGAAGAGGAGGACAAGCGAGAGAAAUGUUCCCCCAGCGCUGAUAACACCCUGAACUGGUGUGAAAUAUUGAUAAAAGUGACUUGCCUCAAGAUGUGGAGAUUGUAAAACAAGAAAGAAGUUAUGUAUGGGAAAUAUAAAAUCUAAUAGUUUGAUAAUUUAAAAUAACAAAUUCUAAUUUUCAGACUCGGUGAAUAUGUUUUUUUAAAUGUUCCAAAUAAUGUGC